CCUUGUACACACCGCCCGUCACGUCAUGGGAGCCGGGAGUGCCCGAAGUCGCCAUAUCACUGUGGUGCCUACGGCAAGAUCGGUGACUGGGACG
rnacentral:rRNA from 1 species